ACUUCAGAGUUUGGAAAACGGAGCAGCCCCUUCCUUCAUACCAUCACCUAGUCCCUAGAUUCUUUCUUCCAUUACCUGGAGCAAAGAACCACCUUGCUUACGUUUCCUUUUCUAUGAUGGCAAGAGGAAAAGGAGCAGGUUAAUCCAGACAUCCAGGCCCCUGAUGGCCAGUCAGCAGGGAAGACAGGAGGCAUGGUGGGGGAAAGCAAACAUUUACAAACACUGGGUAAGUGAAUAAAAAUACUACAGCCAAGAGGAGGAUAAAAUAACCCCGGCCUGCAACACCAACAACACCACAACUGGUGAGAAUGGCUCCCUGUGUAGUGUGCUCUUGACCCAGGUGACCACUUCUUUCUCAGCAUUGAGUCAUUUCCCAGUAAUGGUUUGUAGUGACAAUAAAGGAAAGGCAUUCAGUGCACAAGUCUUGCUAAGUCAA